ACUGGUCUAUACUUCGUGCUAUGGGCGAAGGGAAAAGAGGGAUACAUUGAUGGGGAAAGUGAGUUCGAUACAAAGAAGCCUCUGUUAAGUUAACAAUGUCAUUAUUCUGAUAGAUUUGUACUUUGUUUCGUCGAUAGGCCUCUAGCUAGAAGGUAGAAAACAAGUGGGUGGACUGGACACUGGAAAAUUACUUUGAAUUAUGGAGUUUAGUAGACGAAUUUGCAGGUUUUGUUCAAAAAAAA
rnacentral:misc_RNA from 1 species